rnacentral:rRNA from 1 species
UGAGGAAUAUUGGUCAAUGGACGGAAGUCUGAACCAGCCAAGUAGCGUGCAGGAUGACGGCCCUAUGGGUUGUAAACUGCUUUUGUAUGGGGAUAAAGUCAAUCACGUGUGAUUGUUUGCAGGUACCAUACGAAUAAGGACCGGCUAAUUCCGUGCCAGCAGCCGCGGUAAUACGGAAGGUUCGGGCGUUAUCCGGAUUUAUUGGGUUUAAAGGGAGCGUAGGCCGGAGAUUAAGUGUGUUGUGAAAUGUAGACGCUCAACGUCUGACUUGCAGCGCAUACUGGUUUCCUUGAGUACGCACAACGUUGGCGGAAUUCGUCGUGUAGCGGUGAAAUGCUUAGAUAUGACGAAGAACUCCGAUUGCGAAGGCAGCUGACGGGAGCGCAACUGACGCUGAAGCUCGAAGGUGCGGGUAUCGAACAGGAUUAGAUACCCUGGUAGUCCGCACAGUAAACGAUGGAUGCCCGCUGUUGGUACCUAGUAUCAGCGGCUAAGCGAAAGCAUUAAGCAUCCCACCUGGGGAGUACGCCGGCAACGGU